UACAGAGGUCUCAACCGUUGUUCGGAUUCAUUGGGCGUAAAGGGUGCGUAGGCGGUCGCGCAAGUCGGAUGUGAAAUCUUAGGGCUCAACCCUGAAACUGCAUUCGAUACUGCGUGGCUCGAGUACUGGAGAGGAGACUGGAAUUUACGGUGUAGCAGUGAAAUGCGUAGAUAUCGGGAGGAACACCAGUGGCGAAGGCGACUACCUGGCCUGUUCUUGACGCUGAGGCGCGAAAGCUAGGGGAGCAAACGGG
rnacentral:rRNA from 1 species